GUUUGGAAAGGUCCUCUGGAGAAGGGAAAGGCUACCCAUUCCAGUAUUCUGGCUUGGAGAAUUCCAUGGCCUGUAUAGCCCAUGGGAUCACAAAGAGUCAGACACAACUGAGCAACUGAACGGAAGCUGCCAAUCUGAUGCUCUAAUACUUUCAAAUACUUUAAUGUGUAUAUCCUACAUCAAGAAUGUUUCUCCCAUAUAGCCACAAUACCAUCAUCAAAACUGAGAAAUCAGCAUUGUUACAUUAGUACCAUGUAAUACUCAGCCUUCAUAUUUAGAUUUGUCCAGUUGUACAAUAAUAUUGUUAAUUGCAAAUAAAGACUGUUCAGAAUCACGCUGUGUAUUCAGUUGGGAUAUCCUUUCAUCUCACUGAGCAUUCAGCAACUCAUCAAUAACAGUUCAGGUUUUCCUACCCUGUGCUGGUUCCCACAGUGGUUUCUUCCUGUGAGUCUCUGCUCUGGGGAACUCUUACUCCCUGUAUUCUCCUGUCUUUCUCCAUAAUUUGAGGGAUAGCAAUUUUCCCUGUGUCUUCCCUUGUAUGGCUUCUAAAAGAGUUAUUGAUUUAUUGGUCUGUUCAGCUUUUUACUUACUGUUGAGACAGAGUCACUACUUCCUUGCUCCUUACAUGCAGAAUUGAAAACUGGAAAGGAUACUUUCCCCUAUGAUGCCUCAGUUACCACAUUUCAAAUGUGGGUUAUUUCAGCUGGGGCUUCCCUGAUAGCUCAGUUGGUAAAGAAUCUGCCUGCAAUGCAGGAGACCCCAGUUUGAUCCAGUUUCCUUUCGUUACUUUCAUUCUGUAGCAGUUCUUUGAUCUUUUUGACUUGUUUUGUUUUGUGCAGUGUUCCUCAGUUUGAGUUUAAGUAAUGGUGCUUCAUGAUUAAAGUUAUUUACACUUGGCAGUAAGAGCGCAAAGGGGAUGUUGUGUUGUUUGAGUUGCAUCUUUUCUGGUCAUCUGUGAUUUCACUUUGUCCCAUUUGGGGUUCACUUUGAUCCUGUGAAUGAGGUUGCGGCUACUGUGCUUUUCCACUGUAAAGUUACUCUUUCACUUUUUAAAACUAGUAAGUUUUUAUGUAAUUAUGUGAGGUAAUGGACACAUCCAUUAGCUUGAGUGUCAUAAUCAUUUCAUAAUGUACAUGUGUAUUAAAACUUCACAUUGUAUACCUUAAAUCUAUACAACUUUUACAAAUAAAGAAUAAAAUUUUGUAGUACAGUACUUUGAAACUUUUUCCAUUGGAAACUGCUUUUCUCACCCAACUCAGCCUGUGACUUUUCAAAGCAGCUGCCCUCCCCACUCCCUGCAGAUACUCAGUCUUCUCAGGCUCCAACAUCUCAUACCAGGUAAUCUCUCUGUUUGGAGUCAUGCCCCGCCCUCUUUGAACUCUGCCAUCCCACCAUGGGAUCUGGACCACCAGGGGUCCCUGCCCCCUUCCAGGGCAAUGCUUCCUUUUUUCUACCCAUUUUUUGGCUUCAGAACGAGUUUUUUUUAGGAAGAGAAAGGGAAGCAGAGAUUACAUGCUAUUUAAGGUCAUUUCCAACUCCCGCAUUCUACAAUAGAUAAAGUAAUAUGGUUAAUUUAAUUUGCAAGUUUAUGCUCAGAAAAUAGGGGUAGAGCAGGGGUCCCCAGCCUGCAGGCUAAGGACCGGUACCUGCUUUCAGAGGAGCAGUGGCAUUAGAUUAGAAAUAAAGAGCACAAUUUUCCAUUCUUGUGGUGAGAAUGGCCUUACUAAAACCACUUAAGAAUCCAUUAACUGUUACAUUCAAAUAGUACAAAGUCUCUGAAAAAGCUAUUUGAUCCUCACAGUAUUAAGCAUAAUAAUGACUGAGUGGCUUGUGAAUCCCAUAACUACAUGUGAAAAUGAGAGUGGGGGGAGCAUUUCUUUUUGCUUUAUCACAGGAUUCUCUUCAUAUGUGUUCAUAUUCUGAUAUUACAUAUGUUAAUAAUUUCCUUCCUUAUUGCUUCACAAUAAACUAUUUCCAAAAAUUAAAAAAAAAAGCGCAUAAUAAAUGUAAUGCACUUGAAUCAUCCUUAAACUAUCCCCUCUAUACCUGGUCUGUGGAAAAAUUGUCUUCCAGGAAAUCAGUCCCUGGUUCCAAAAAGUUUGGGGACUGCUGAGGAAUCACUGGGACAAAUGACCUUUCCUGAAAUCAUCACUGAAACCAGAGCAAAGUGAGCCAAUAAUUGCAUUUUUUAUGAAUGAAACGUCUGUGACAACCCUGCAUUGAACAAGCAUAUCAGCACCAUUUUUCAAACUUUGUGUCUAUGUCACAUUUUGUGGUCAUGUAUGGAUGUGAGAGUUGGACUGUGAAGAAAGCUGAGCGCUGAAGAAUUGAUG